GACGAACGCUGGCGGCGUGCUUAACACAUGCAAGUCGAACGGAAAGGCCUGCUUUCCCUUGUGGAUUGCGGGUACUCGAGUGGCGAACGGGUGAGUAACACGUGAGUGAUCUGCCCCCAACUUGGGUAUAAGCCUGGGAAACUGGGUCUAAUUCCCGAUAGUACUGCAGGGUGGUGCCUGUGGUGGAAAACGAUUUUCUAGUGGUUGGGGAUGAGCUCGCGGCCUAUCAGCUUGUUGGUGGGGUAAUGGCCUACCAAGGCGGCGACGGGUAGCCGGCCUGAGAGGGUGGACGGCCACAUUGGGACUGAGAUACGGCCCAGACUCCUACGGGAGGCAGCAGUGGGGAAGAUUGCACAAUGGGCGGAAGCCUGAUGCAGCGACGCCGCGUGGGGGAUGACGGCCUUCGGGUUGUAAACUCCUUUCGACCGCGAGGAAGCCACCUGGUUGGAAGGGUGGUGACGGUAGUGGUAGAAGAAGCACCGGCUAACUACGUG
rnacentral:rRNA from 1 species